UCCGAGAUCGUCUAAUGGCAGGACAACGGACUCUGAAUCCGUUUAUCUUGGUUCGAAUCCAAGUCUCGGAACCA
rnacentral:tRNA from 1 species